UCCUCGGUAGUAUAGUGGUUAGUAUCCCCACAUAAAACGAUCGUGGGAGACCGGGGUUCGAAUCCCCGCUGAGGAG